rnacentral:rRNA from 1 species
UACGGAGGGGGCUAGCGUUGUUCGGAAUUACUGGGCGUAAAGCGCACGUAGGCGGAUCAGCCAGUCAGGGGUGAAAUCCCGGGGCUCAACCCCGGAACUGCCCUUGAUACUGCUGGUCUGGAGUUCGAGAGAGGCGAGUGGAAUUCCGAGUGUAGAGGUGAAAUGCGUAGAUAUUAGGAGGAACACCAGUUGCGAAGGCGGCUCUCUGGACUGUAACUGACACUGAGGCACGAAAGCGUGGGGAGCAAACAGGAUUAGAUACCCGCGUAGU